rnacentral:rRNA from 2 species
UGGGGAAUAUUGGACAAUGGGGGCAACCCUGAUCCAGCCAUGCCGCGUGAGUGAUGAAGGCCUUCGGGUUGUAAAGCUCCUUUGGCGGGGACGAUGAUGACGGUACCCGCAGAAUAAGCCCCGGCUAACUUCGUGCCAGCAGCCGCGGUAAGACGAAGGGGGCUAGCGUUGUUCGGAAUUACUGGGCGUAAAGCGAGUGUAGGUGGUUGUCAUAGUCAGGUGUGAAAGCCUUGAGCUCAACUCAAGAAAUGCACUUGAUACUGGGCGACUAGAGGACCGGAGAGGAUAGUGGAAUUCCCAGUGUAGUGGUGAAAUACGUAGAGAUUGGGAAGAACACCAGUGGCGAAGGCGGCUAUCUGGACGGUUACUGACACUAAGACUCGAAAGCGUGGGGAGCAAACAGG